GAUGAACGCUGGCGGCGUGCCUAAUACAUGCAAGUCGAGCGAACAGACGAGGAGCUUGCUCCUCUGACGUUAGCGGCGGACGGGUGAGUAACACGUGGAUAACCUACCUAUAAGACUGGGAUAACUUCGGGAAACCGGAGCUAAUACCGGAUAAUAUAUUGAACCGCAUGGUUCAAUAGUGAAAGACGGUUUUGCUGUCACUUAUAGAUGGAUCCGCGCCGCAUUAGCUAGUUGGUAAGGUAACGGCUUACCAAGGCAACGAUGCGUAGCCGACCUGAGAGUGUGAUCGGCCACACUGGAACUGAGACACGGUCCAGACUCCUACGGGAGGCAGCAGUAGGGAAUCUUCCGCAAAGGGCGAAAGCCUGACGGAGCAACGCCGCGUGAGUGAUGAAGGUCUUCGGAUCGUAAAACUCUGUUAUUAGGGAAGAACAAAUGUGUAAGUAACUAUGCACGUCUUGACGGUACCUAAUCAGAAAGCCACGGCUAACUAUGUG
rnacentral:rRNA from 1 species